rnacentral:rRNA from 1 species
GCGGACGGGUGAGUAAUGUCUGGGAAACUGCCUGAUGGAGGGGGAUAACUACUGGAAACGGUGGCUAAUACCGCAUAACGUCGCAAGACCAAAGAGGGGGACCUUCGGGCCUCUUGCCAUCAGAUGUGCCCAGAUGGGAUUAGCUUGUUGGUGAGGUAACGGCUCACCAAGGCGACGAUCCCUAGCUGGUCUGAGAGGAUGACCAGCCACACUGGAACUGAGACACGGUCCAGACUCCUACGGGAGGCAGCAGUGGGGAAUAUUGCACAAUGGGCGCAAGCCUGAUGCAGCCAUGCCGCGUGUAUGAAGAAGGCCUUCGGGUUGUAAAG